GACGAACGCUGGCGGCGUGCCUAAUACAUGCAAGUUGAGCGAUGAAGAUUGGUGCUUGCACCAAUUUGAAGAGCAGCGCACGGGUGAGUAACGCGUGGGGAAUCUGCCUUUGAGCGGGGGACAACAUUUGGAAACGAAUGCUAAUACCGCAUAACAACUUUAAACAUAAGUUUUAAGUUUGAAAGAUGCAAUUGCAUCACUCAAAGAUGAUCCCGCGUUGUAUUAGCUAGUUGGUGAGGUAAAGGCUCACCAAGGCGAUGAUACAUAGCCGACCUGAGAGGGUGAUCGGCCAAAUUGGGACUGAGACACGGCCCAAACUCCUACGGGAGGCAGCAGUAGGGAAUCUUCGGCAAUGGACGAAAGGCUGACCGAGCAACGCCGCGUGAGUGAAGAAGGUUUUCGGAUCGUAAAACUCUGUUGGUAGAGAAGAACGUUGGUGAGAGUGGAAAGCUCAUCAAGUGACGGUAACUACCCAGAAAGGGACGGCUAACUACGUG
rnacentral:rRNA from 1 species